rnacentral:lncRNA from 10 species
UCCGAAAUCAACCAAUUAAAGCCCAAAUCGUAUAAUAGUUUCUCUCUAACUCCUCCCACUGAGAUGACCCAUAGUACCCCAUUCCUUGCUGCAAUGUAAUUAUAUUUAAUUACAAGUGUGCCCCUGGUAGUCUUUAACUGAAGGGCACUGACUGGGUCACUGGUGAAGUUCCCCGCAGGAACUGAGUCAGACCCCAUCUCAGGGCCCUGCACAAGAUAGGUGCCUGCUCUAAGGCGUGGACCCUCGCCACAGCCCUGGCCCGUCUUGACGGGCGAGGGUUACUGUACUUGUCCCAACCGUACAGAUGAGAAAGCUGAGACUCAGGGCCAGCAACCCGGGUCCCAGCGGAGCGCCCGGCACACGCCGACACUUCAGCACCAGUGGCGGUGGCCACCACUGUGGGCGGAGAUGGCUGCGACGCGUGCGCAGAUCUCGAUCCCAAACUCCCUCCUGCCAGAAUCUGGACCCGAAUCCACCCAUUGCCCGUUUUCCGCUGCCGCUGGAGAGAAUCUCUGAGGUCCCCAGGAGAGCCUGCCUGCACGGAAGAGACGCCUCCUCGAUUAAAUGCUGUUUUCCAUGACCGUCUCUGUUCUUCCCAUACGGGAAUGGCAGGCAUUCAGAUCUCCAAGAAUAGAGGAUUAGGAGAGACUCCACCACCUAUGUCCUCACAGUUAAUUAUCGAUUUGUGUCAGUUGCCCAUUUUCUCACUUCCUGUUUGUGUGUCAAGGGGUAUUAAUAAAUCUUUGCCUAUUUAAAGAUAUUAGCCUUGGAUUUUCAAAUAUUGCAUAUUUUGACAUGUAAAAAUUUGUUAGUUUUAUUUUUUCAACCGAUCUGACCUGUAUAGUUGGGCUUGAGGAAGCUUCCUCAUUCUACAUGUUACUAUGGAUUUUCUAAUAUUAACACAGGGUUGUAUUUUUUCCAUAUAACUUUCUAUUGAAUUUCUUUUUCCAUAUGAUAGGUGGUGAAGGUUUAGCCCAGUAAAGCAGAGAGGUUAAGAGGUUAGAUUGGGGGCUCUGGAGCCAGACCUGUGUAGAUCUGAGUCGUGGCUCUGGCACUUGAAAGCCGUGUGACCUUGGUUAAGAUACUUAGUCCCUCUCUGCCAAAUGGAGAAAUAAGGGCACCUACCCCAUAGGGUAGUUGUGUGAUUACACAAGUUAAUACACUUCAAUCAGUAGCAAGAAAGUGAAUGUCAAGCUGUAUUUGUUCAGGCAGCCAUAUGGUAGCCCCACGUCCUUAGUAAACUGAGGUAUUGAAGUAUCUUCUUUUUCUUUCAGAAAAUAUUUGUCAAGCACCUUCUGUGUUCAAAGAACUGUUCUAGAGCUUUGCAUGCUAUGGAGGUCUAGAAAUUCACAUUAUGGUGGCAGGUGACAGACAAUACAAAGAGAUAAAGCAAUUUCAUAUAGUGAUAAGCUAGGGAGGAGUGCUAAAAGGAGCCAAGGUGUAGUGGUGACUGGAAGGUGACCAGGGAAACCACUGUAGGGUUUCUAAGUGAUGAGAUCUGUGACAAAUCCCUGUGGUCAGCAGCAGGCAUUGGAUAUGUAACUUUAUUCUGUCCCAUUGAUCUUGUAGUCAACCCUGGUCUGUUCUGUAUUGUUUUAAUUACAUAAUCUUUGUAAUAAUCUUUAAUACCUGG